UUUCUUUACCCUCUUCGCGGAAAUAUGUAUCUUCCUUCCAUUAUAAGAAGAAUAAACCUCAGGCAUUUCACGUGUAGUAUUUUAUUUAGCCCGGUGAUUAAUGCAUGACAAUAGUCAGGAUAAUCUGGUCUGGGACUAGAGGGGUAAAUGUUAUUGGUGCACGUUGCAUAACAAAGACAGGAGUGACACUAUGUAACUGUUUCCAAGAUCUGAUGGCAUUCGAUUUACAGAGCUAGCCACCUGUGAAACGUCAUUGCAGCAGAGGCAUCACCACCCACCAACGUGGCCACGUUUUCUGCCUAGAAACACCAUCGGCUAAUUGGAAUAGCGAGACCGAAGAAUCCCGUGGGCUGGGACCAACGUGACAUGGGGGCUGGACAGAGCGUAGAGGAGACCAGACGGUUGGACAACGUUAGUGACCACAUCAAGCAGUCCAGCACGGAUGCCCAUCCGGAGGCUGACGUGGCACCUAACCCACAGGAGCCUGCUGCGGAGCUCCCUCAGCGCAGGAUGGCCGACAAGAAGGUGGAUGACAUGUGCUUCAUGAUCUCAUGCACCAACUGGUACUAGAGGGUGGUGGGUUGGUGGCAGGCGAUGCAUUUAAAAACAGUCGUACAGUAGACACACACACCCCAAACCUUUGCUUUGAUGCCACAUCCCGAGAGGAUAAUAAAGCUAAGAGUGUUCACCUCUGCGCCUCACGAUUUACUCCAAUUUAGCGUGCAUAAAAAGCAUAAGCACAGCCGAGGAAGUGGCCGCGCUGCACGUGGGUGGUUCAGGUGCAGUGCUAAUUGCACUGUUAUUACUGUCCAGGUUCGUUCAGACAGCUACUCGGAAGGGAAGUCUAUAGAGCAUGCAAAAAUAAACCCUUCUCCUAUGGCUUGGACCUUUAUGCUGAGUUUUUUACCCAAGUUACCGGGCUUUUCUUUAUCAGGCUUGAAAAAAAAAUUGAAGAUUUAAGAGAAUAGGGAUCUGCAUCAAUAACACUGUGUUUGAAAGUAUCUAUCUUUUAGGUGAAAUCGACACCUCAUUUGGUGUUCCAUUUACCCUUGUUAGCCAGGUGCUGUUUGUGAUAGUGCACAUUCUUCACAGUCUGGCAUGUAAUUUGGAGAAGUUACAUACUUUUGGGCUUUCAUAACAGUAUGGGAGUCGUGAAUCAUGAGAUUUCUUAUGAACACUCAUUUUUUUCUUCAACUGUGUAACAUGGUGAACAGGUCAGGACACAUGUUUGUCAUCAGCCAUUGCAAAGCUUUUUAAACCUUUUAUUGACAUUUCUUUGUUAAUAGAACAUGGUGAUAUUGGUAGAUAUACAGUGUGGAACUGUUGAAUGAAAAUAAUAUAAAAACAAUGUUUACCUUCAUGUAAUUAAAAGUGUUGUUGUUUUUUGUAAAUAAAGCUUAA